rnacentral:tRNA from 1 species
GAGAUACUAGUAAAGCACUUACACUGCCUUGUCAAGACAGAAUCGCAAGUUAAACCCCUGCGUAUUUCA